CAUCACGUGGUACUGAAAGAAUUUUGGGAGGUAGUGUCCUAGCCAGACAUCCACCCAACAGUACUGACAUCUCCAUAUGGGUCCUUCUUAUGAGAUCAUUCUCUUGGUGGCAUAGCUUAAAAUCAAUUAUUUAUAUAUGAUAAAAAAAUUAAAGUAAAUUAAAUAUAAAAAAUUAUAAUAUGUAAAAUCAAUCUAUCAUGGUAGGAGAUG
rnacentral:lncRNA from 1 species